AUGUGCUUAGGAGAUGAAAGAUAUGAUGAUUCAGAACAAAAUAGUGAUUUCUAUAACUCACUAGAUGAUGUGGGACUACAUAAUUUAGACAAUGCAAUGGAAGCCAUGGAAGUAGAAAGUAGUGGUAAAAGAAGAAGGGGAUAUGGUGAAUCAUCUGUAAAAAGAGAAGGAGAAAGAGAGAGACCUACCAGGACAGCUGGACAAUGGCCUCCAGAAAAAGAUGAUUACCAGCCUACAUAUAUCCCAGGACAAUAUAGAUACAUGGGUACUAAAAGAAGAGAUUUUGAAAAACCAGUGCAAUUCCAAAAUUAUAAAAAUGAUGGUGCUAUAUUAAACCUAGCAGCUCCUGACCCAAUAGAUUGGCCGAAUAUAAUCAACAUAUGGAAAGGUUUAAUAGUACAAAAAUAUAUACAAAAUCAGUAUAGCAUAGGCACUAAGGUAGAAGAUAUGUUAACAUAUCUUGAAACAUUUUUAGGAGAAUCUGUAAAAGUUCUUUGGGAACAAUGGGUAGAAUCAUACCCUAGUCAAUAUGAAGAAUUAAAAAGGGCAGGAAGUAACCCUAAUAACUUUGCGAAUGUUAUCUCAAAUAUGAUUAUAGCAGAAGAUCCUGAAUUAGGACAUACCUCAUUGCAAAAUGAAAGGUUAAGAGAAAUAGAAAAAUUAACAUUAACUAGCUGGAAAGGUAUUAAAGAGUUUUCCCAGCAUUAUUUGUAUAAUUCUACUACUGCUAAACAAGGUUUUAAUGUAGGCGUAGUAGAAAGAUAUUUUAAUAAGUUGCCUGAUCCCCUAGGGUCAAUAAUAUUUGAAGAAUAUAAAAAGGAAACGGCGGGAAACGUGGUAAACAUAUCUCAAGCUAUAACAUUUGUUUUCAAACAAUUAAGAAAGGUGUGUACUAGUAUUCAAGCCCAAAGAUUUAUGAAGAAAUCAGAUUAUAAUUUUUGCAAUAACAUAGUCCAAAUACCAUUUACAUAUGGAGAAGAAAGGCAUAUGAAAAACAAAUAUUAUAAACCACAAAGGAGAGAUAAUAGAAAUUUUAGAACAAAGAAAAGAUUUUUACAACAAUCUUUACAAAUCACAAUCAUACAUGAAGAGGGGGUAACAUUUAUUCCUUAUCAAGAUAAUGUUCCAUACAUAUCUGAAGUGCGAAAACAAAGAAAGUCCUUGCAAAAUGUAGAAAUAUCUAAUUUAGAUGAUGAAUAUAGCACAAGUCCAGAUCCCCUUGAAUUCUGUAAAGACGAAGAACUUAGUGAGACCAUAGAAGAAUAUCAUAUAGAAAAUACAUGUCCUGAAUGCAUUGGGUUGCAAUCAUUCUCUCCAAAUUGGUAUAGAGAUAUAAAAUCCAAAAAGGAUAUAGAUAAGAUUGUGCAAAGACUAGAAAGUAUACAAAUUAUUGGAGAAAUACCAAUGAAACAUUGGGAUAAGAACUCUAUAGUUUGCAAAAUAAAUAUCAUAAAUCCAGAUUAUAUAAUUAAGUCAGGACCAAUAGAAGCAACUCCUAAAGAUAUCGAAGAGUUCAAAAUGCAUAUUGAAGAGUUAUUAAAGUUAAAAGCUAUAAGAGAAAGCAGAAGCCCUCAUCGAUCUGCUGCUUUUAUAGUUAGAAAUCAUGCUGAAGAAGUUAGAGGCCUAAAGAAUGCACCUGCACUAUUUCAAAGAAAGAUGCAAAAUAUAUUUAAUGAGAAUCAAGCAUUUAUAUUAGUAUACGUAGAUGAUUUGUUAGUAUUCUCAAAAUCAUACAAAGAGCAUAUAGCCCAUCUUGAAGUGUUCUUUCGAAAGGUAGAACAAAAUGGGCUCAUACUAUCUAAAAAGAAGAUGGAGAUUUGCAAAGAGAAAAUAAAUUUCCUUGGUCAUGAAAUAGGAGAAGGAAAAAUAUAUCUACAAGAACAUAUUGCAAAGAAAAUAUUAGAGUUUCCUGAUAAUAUGAGUGAUAAAAAGGUUUUACAACAGUUCUUAGGAAUUGUAAACUAUGCGUGA
rnacentral:rRNA from 1 species